AACUGGUUUGGGGCACACUUGACAUAAGGGCGAACCUGAAUUUAGCCAGUCAUUCUGAAGGUCAGUCAGCACCAUGGACAGAGAUCCUGUCAUCACAGCCUGACCUCUGGGGCCCCAUCUCACCACAAACACCAGGAGAAAACACUGGAAAGGCUCAAAAGCUGCCAGACCCUCAUUGUUUACUGUGCGUUUAUGGGAGGAAUGGACACAAGUACAUCCUACUGAUGAUACAGCAAAAGGGUGGUCAUAAGGCUUGAGUUAGGUCUAAAGAUGAUCAGACUGAUAAAGUUAUCUUAAAAUGCCUGCAGAAUGGAAAGUGAAAAACCUCAGGCUGGAAGUUAUUUUGGAGGGUCAGGCAGGACGCCAGUUGGCAGUGUGAGGCAUGAGGAAUGCAUGAGAGAAUAUGGGACGUACCAAGAGC